rnacentral:tRNA from 1 species
CGGGCAGUAGCUCAUUGGUAGAGCUCAGGCUUCGUAUGCGGAGAGACCUGGGUUCGAUUCUCGGCUGCUUGC